rnacentral:tRNA from 1 species
GGGCUGGUAGAUCAGCUGGAAGAUCGCUUGCUUUGCAAGCAAGAAGUCGCGCGUUCAAAUCGCGCCCAGUCCACCA